UCAGCCAGCAGGUGAGGAGAAACUUAACAGUAGCACAUGGGGUUAGUGUCCACCACAGUAAUCCCUUGAGCAAAGAGCACAUGAGGCUGGAAAACUCUGAAAGGAAAGUCAGAAUGACCCUAACAGAAAACCUUUCCUGAAGGAAACCACAUCUGUUCAAGCUGGCAUGAGGACUGUUCUCAGGAGGAGCGAGAUGCAAAGUUCAAGGGAACUGCCUGUGAAGACACACGGUGACGGCGCUGGGUUAUAUAAUGUGCCUUGGUGUGAGGAAGCUCUUUGUUCUAUUUACAAAUCCUUGUAUUACUGACAAGGAAACUUUGAUGGCUGCCUUCCAAAGACAACAAUGAAGAAAGAAAGAAAGGUGGGUUUUUCUUUGUCUUGGAGCUCCCAUAAAUCCCCUCCUGUUCUGAAAUGUGACUUUUAAAAUUAUUUUUCUUUUCCCCAUGUGUAAUCCUAUUGCAGGUUUUACAAGUAUAAUUACAAAGCAAUUAAAUGUGGGAGCAGUGAGGAAGACAGCACCAAGGAAUACUGAGCCUAUUUGUUUGAAAACUCCACAGGUGCUGGUUACAGCUUUGAAACACCAAGGUUAUUGUGUCUGAAGAGUAUUGUUUCAUCCACAAAGAGGUCAAAUACCGGAGAACAUUCUUGGAUAUUAUGUGAGAUUUAAGUGAGACUUGUUCCUCAAAGACUACCUUAUAAACCAAUUUAUCUCACACAAAAGUUUCCAAACCCUGAGAAAACUCAGGGUGAGAUUGGAGCUCCAAGGGAGAGGAUAGAGCAGAGGUCGUAAAAUCCAGAGUAAUGCAGAGUUAAGAGAUAGAGAAUGAAUAAUCACUAUUUGGUAUAGCAGAAGAACACUGAUUCUCAUUAAAAAACAAUCACAAUAUUUUUUUUCUCUGCAGAAGAAAGCUCUUAUUAAAUAGACUCCUCUAAGCCAAUCUCUGGCACUCUGCCUCUACUGUUCACUUUUCUGUACUCCUCAGUAAGUAUUUAGGCUAAAUGGUGUAGAGCUGUAAUAUCCUCUGGGAAUAACCCUUGGUACCCAUCACUAAAUCCAUUCUAUAUAUUUCCUGGUGAACAGUUUGGCUGUAGACUAGAUGGUGUUCUUGCUGUUCAGUGAAAAAUUUAUUUAGUAAGAUUUUCAUCAUUAGCUAAGGACAAGUUCCCUUUAAGUUCCUGAGUACUUUGGGUAAAAAGGCAUUUAUUUGGUAAAAGCACAUUAUAAAGAACUACAAGGUAGGGAUAGUCCUUCCAAGUCUUGUUCAAACUCCAUUUCAGGCAUCAGGAGUCCUUUAUCUCAGCUCUCUAUCUAGGAAAAUAUUUACCCAUUAUAAUGACCUAAUCACAGGAAGGGGCCAGGGCCCAAUUUUCUCGUUUGCCUGCCUGUCUCAUCGUGGGGUGAGGCUGGAUGCAGGGUGUGUACCAGUCCCAGAUCCCUGUGCAGAGCCUGCAGUUGGUGCUCAACACCAACAGCGUUAACCAGUGCAAUGCUCUGGGUGCUGGGGACAGAGUCUGAGUGCUCUCAAACACUGCCUGGUGAUAUUCAACUUCUCCAUCAGGGCCUUCCUUCCCUUUGGGCAGCAUGGCCACCUCAUCUAGGAAUCUGUGGAGCAACACUGAUGUGGCUAGAGCAAGGCCAAGUAGGUUGUUGUUCCUACCAAUGCAAAGAAUGAGUGAAAGAUCUUAUCUGAACAAAGUUGGAACCAUUCUGCUUAGGACAAAAGCAGAGCAGGAAAGAACCCAGAUGAAGUCAUGGACAUUCAAAGAGUUGAGCUGCUGUGUUUCCACAGGUGAAGAUGCAAGCUGAUCUCUCUGUAAUAAGAUAGGGUGGGAAAGGUUAUAUAAUUAGGUUGCUUGUUGCUUUAAACCCUCCUUCUCCGUAAUGCUAAAUAAAACAAAUGCUUCAAGGAUAUAGGUCAUUAUCCCUGGUCAGCUGCCCAAAGGGAGGAAACAGAGGUUGGUAAACACCUGACACAUGGGUGUAGAAAGCUUUUGAUUUAAUAGUGGAAAAAAGUGGCAUUUUUCAGUCUGUGUUAGGGAGGGGUGAGAUGUUGAACCGGUAAGAUGGGCCUCCAGAAGUUUUACAAAUGCUGGAACAUUGUGGCUGAAAUGUAGACAGGAUAAUGCAAAUACAAACUGAUUUUUUUUUCCCUCUUUCCCCUGCACUAGGUGUGGGACUAAGAAACAAAAGGUGACACCAAAAUGUCAUCUUUCCUGAUGAUUUGGAGCCAUUUGACUAUCUCUAAAAGCUCUGAGCAGAUCAGGGAGAAAGUCCUCCAAAAUGUUGAGAAGUCCUGUUUUUGUCACAGUAGAGAUGGGAAAGAUUCCAGACUCUCCAAGAUGUUGGCAAAAUGGUGGAAGCUUUUCCAGCUCAGUUCAAGCUGCAACUUUCCCCAAGUCCCACAUCUGUUCUGUUGCAGAGCCACAUACUUAACCCUGGUUUUCUGUAUAGAAAAUUAUGUAAAUAAACCCAUUUGAGUUUGAAACUA